GUGAGGAAUAUUGCGCAAUGGAGGCAACUCUGACGCAGCCAUGCCGCGUGCAGGAAGAAGGUGCUACGCGUUGUAAACUGCUUUUAACCGGGAAGAAACCCCAGGACGUGUCCUGGGUUGACGGUACCGGAGGAAUAAGCACCGGCUAACUUCGUGCCAGCAGCCGCGGUAAUACGAAGGGUGCAGGCGUUAUCCGGAUUCAUUGGGUUUAAAGGGUGCGUAGGCGGAGCGUUAAGUCAGUGGUGAAAUCCUGCAGCUUAACUGUAGACUUGCCAUUGAUACUGGCGCUCUUGAGUGCGCUUGAAGUGGGCGGAAUGUGCCGUGUAGCGGUGAAAUGCUUAGAUAUGGCACAGAACACCAAUUGCGAAGGCAGCUCACUAAGGCGAUACUGACGCUGAGGCACGAAAGCGUGGGGAUCGAACAGGAUUAGAAACCCCUGUAGUCC
rnacentral:rRNA from 1 species